UACGUAGGGUGCGAGCGUUGUCCGGAAUUAUUGGGCGUAAAGGGCUCGUAGGCGGUUUGUCGCGUCGGGAGUGAAAACACCGGGCUUAACUCGGUGCUUGCUUCCGAUACGGGCAGACUAGAGGUAUGCAGGGGAGAACGGAAUUCCUGGUGUAGCGGUGAAAUGCGCAGAUAUCAGGAGGAACACCGAUGGCGAAGGCAGGUCUCUGGGCAUUAACUGACGCUGAGGAGCGAAAGCAUGGGGAGCGAACAGG
rnacentral:rRNA from 1 species